GGUCUGGUGGCCGAGCGGUUAGGCACCGGUCUGCAAAACCGUCUACAGCAGUUCGAAUCUGCUCCAGACCU
rnacentral:tRNA from 1 species